UGGCAUUUGCUUUCCUGUGAUCAUUUGUUGCUUUUGUUCUUGUAUGUGAGGAUCCAUUGUAAGUCCCUGUAAUGUGGCAUUGGUUUUCCUAUGAUCAUAUGUGGAGUUAACCUAAGUCCAGAUAGAUUGGCAGUUGACUUCCAUAUUUCAUCUUUGUUUUCUUUUUAGGAGAUUAGUGUAAGACCAUUGAGUGGCCUCUGAUAUCCAUUUCUGUUUUAGGAGACUGGUGUAAAUCCAUCUAUUGGUAUCCGGUAUCCGCCUUUUAUUUCUUUUCGUUUGAGGAGAUUAGUGUAAGUCCAUUGAGUGGCAUCUGAUAUCCAGUUUUAUCUUAGGAGAUUGGUAUAAGCCCAGUGAUUGGCAUCCGGUAUCCGCUUUUCUUUUGCUUUAUUUGUUUGUUAUUAUCCAUUGCUAUUCCAAAGGACACACUUGAAUCAUCCUCUAUAUGAUCUCAAGAAGUGAACCCUCUAAG
rnacentral:lncRNA from 1 species